rnacentral:rRNA from 1 species
GAGUUUGAUCUUGGCUCAGAUUGAACGCUGGCGGCAGGCCUAACACAUGCAAGUCGAGCGGAUGAUGGGAGCUUGCUCCCGGAUUCAGCGGCGGACGGGUGAGUAAUGCCUAGGAAUCUGCCUGGUAGUGGGGGACAACGUUUCGAAAGGAACGCUAAUACCGCAUACGUCCUACGGGAGAAAGCAGGGGACCUUCGGGCCUUGCGCUAUCAGAUGAGCCUAGGUCGGAUUAGCUAGUUGGUGGGGUAAAGGCCUACCAAGGCGACGAUCCGUAACUGGUCUGAGAGGAUGAUCAGUCACACUGGAACUGAGACACGGUCCAGACUCCUACGGGAGGCAGCAGUGGGGAAUAUUGGACAAUGGGCGAAAGCCUGAUCCAGCCAUGCCGCGUGUGUGAAGAAGGUCUUCGGAUUGUAAAGCACUUUAAGUUGGGAGGAAGGGCAGUAAGUUAAUACCUUGCUGUUUUGACGUUACCAACAGAAUAAGCACCGGCUAACUUCGUGCCAGCCGCCGCAGUAA